AAGCGCAUCCGUCUUAUCUGAAACAAUUAAAUAUUCAAUUAAAAUCAAUCUCGAAACUCGGAAACGGAUGUUCUUUCAAUUAAUCGAAAAUUCUUAGCAACAGGUAGUUGCUAAGCGUGACCAUAGCAUCGUAAUUGAAGGAUGACAUACUUAUUAUAAAAUAAUUGAGUAAUGCGCGUACGUAUAUUUGAUGGAAUCAAAAUGGGACUUUAGAGACUGGAUACGAUCAUUUACGCACCGAAUAAAUGAUCUGGAAAUAAUUCAUCCUCCAAGCUGUCUUCGUCCUCGCUUGGGAAGAAAUACUCAUUCGGCGGCGAUGCCAUAUGAAUUAUGUUUUCGGCCUUGCAAUCAUUGAGUUAAGCGGAGCUACGUGAUCUCGCACUGUUUGAAACUGUAUUUCUUUGCGUCUGCUUUCAUUACACUGAUAGCGUUAUGUUAUUACACGUCAUUGUUCACAUUAAACAUUCGUCAAAGAAUUUUUCUUUUAAAAUAUCACUCAAAUCCGCACUAACGAGACAAGUUUUUACAUUCUUUAAAACUGUAAUUAAUUUUAAUUAUUAAAAACUCAAGAGAUAUA